rnacentral:rRNA from 1 species
AAUAUUGAUUACGUUAAAUAAAGUUCUGAGUAAGUUUAGAUAAUGACUUUACCUACUCACGUGUUUUGACCAAAUUGCGUGCCAGCAGUCGCGGUAAGACGUAUAAAACUGGCGUUAUUCAUCUUUAGCAGGUUUAAAGGGUACCUAGACGGCAAAUCAAGCCAUAAUAGGGACUAGUUUGCUUGGGUUUCUUGUAAAGGGGCUUGAAAGUACUAAUGGAUAAGAGAUGAAAUGCUAAGACACCAUUCAUGGCACUGGUAAAGGCGUAGGCAUCCCCUUAUUAGAUAACUGACGUUGAGGGACGAAGGCUUUGGGCAGCGAAUAGGAUUAGAUACCCUAGUAGUCGAAGCAGAAAAUGAUGAGUGUCAUAGAUUAGAAAACUUUAAUCUAUAAAUGAAAGUGUAAGCACUCCACCUUAUGAGUAAAGUGGCAACGCCGAAAUUGAAAUCAUUAGACCGUUUCUGAAACCAGUAGUGAAGUAUGUUGUUUAAUUUGAUAAUCCGCAAAAAACCUUACCACAACUUGAAUAUUUAGAUCUUUGAAUAUCUAAUUACAAGCGUUGCACGGCUGUCUUAAGUUAAUGUCGUGAGAAUUUGGUUAGCUCCAUUUAAUUGACGUAAACCCUCGUUUUACUUUUAUGUAUAACGGUUCACCACAAUAUAGGAUAUUGAUAAUAGGGAAGAAGAC